rnacentral:rRNA from 1 species
UACGGGGGGGAGCAAGCGUUGUUCGGAUUUACUGGGCGUAAAGGGCGCGUAGGCGGCGUGACAAGUCACUUGUGAAAUCUCCGGGCUUAACUCGGAACGGUCAAGUGAUACUGUUGUGCUAGAGUACAGAAGGGGCAAUCGGAAUUCUUGGUGUAGCGGUGAAAUGCGUAGAUAUCAAGAGGAACACCAGAGGCGAAGGCGGAUUGCUGGGCUGAUACUGACGCUGAGGCGCGAAAGCUAGGGUAGCAAACGGG